AGGAUGAACGCUGGCGGUCUGCUUAACACAUGCAAGUCGAACGGAGUAGAAAUACUUAGUGGCGGACGGGUGAGUAACGCGUGAGAAUCUACCUUCAGGACGGAGACAACAGUUGGAAACGACUGCUAACCCCCGAUGUACUGAAAGGGCAAAUAUUUAUAGCCUGAAGAAGAGCUCGCGUCCGAUUAGCUAGUUGGAGAGGUAAAAGCUCACCAAGGCGACGAUCGGUAGCUGGUCUGAGAGGACGAUCAGCCACACUGGGACUGAGACACGGCCCAGACUCCUACGGGAGGCAGCAGUGGGGAAUUUUCCGCAAUGGGCGAAAGCCUGACGGAGCAAGACCGCGUGGGGAAGAAGGCUCUUGGGUUGUAAACCCCUUUUCUCUGGGAAGAACGCAAUGACGGUACCAGAGGAUCAGCAUCGGCUAACGUCCGUGCCAGCAGCCGC
rnacentral:rRNA from 1 species